UUUUUUUUUUCCUUGAUAGUGAUUAGUGAGUAAUAAUAGGCAUUUUAACAAAAGUUUUGAACUUUCAAUGUUUUCGACAUAAUGUUUGAAAGUUAUUAAUCGACAAGUGGUUGCCAUAUAGUAAGGAACUAAGAGGUGUAACAUAUAACAAACGACACUAUCUUUAAGACCAAAGAAACAUUUCUUUAUCGCAUUCGAAAGAG
rnacentral:lncRNA from 1 species